GACGAACGCUGGCGGCGUGCUUAACACAUGCAAGUCGAACGGAAAGGCCCUGCUUUUGUGGGGUGCUCGAGUGGCGAACGGGUGAGUAACACGUGAGUAACCUGCCCUUGGCUUUGGGAUAACUUCAGGAAACUGGGGCUAAUACCGGAUAGGAGCUCCUGCUGCAUGGUGGGGGUUGGAAAGUUUCGGCGGUUGGGGAUGGACUCGCGGCUUAUCAGCUUGUUGGUGGGGUAGUGGCUUACCAAGGCUUUGACGGGUAGCCGGCCUGAGAGGGUGACCAGCCACAUUGGGACUGAGAUACGGCCCAGACUCCUACGGGAGGCAGCAGUGGGGAAUAUUGCACAAUGGGCGGAAGCCUGAUGCAGCAACGCCGCGUGCGGGAUGACGGCCUUCGGGUUGUAAACCGCUUUCGCCUGUGACGAAGCGUGAGUGACGGUAAUGGGUAAAGAAGCACCGGCUAACUACGUG
rnacentral:rRNA from 1 species